rnacentral:lncRNA from 10 species
AGAGAACAAAUGGGUGCCUUCCCUCUCUGUGGCCAGUCCUUCUCAAACAGCUGCCCCUUGGCCAUGCUUCAGCCUAGAAUUGCACACUCCAGUGGUGAAAUAUGACCUCUGAAAGACAGACUAUGGAAUAAGUGUGCACGGGCCUCACUGGAAAGUUGGCAGGUACAAGGUCUUUGAACAAAGAAUUAUGAGUCUAGAAGUUGAAGAGAAAAUGGAGAUCUGAAGCACGAGAAGGAUUUGGCACACCACUGAUGUCUUCAGAAUAGAAAGUACACAUGGCAAAGAAUAUAGGCAGCCUCUAGGGCCUACGGACAAGCCCUAGCUAACAGCCAGCAAGGAAGCAAGGACUUCAGUCCUAAAAAUACAAAGAGCUGAAUUCUGCCAAAAACAAGUAUAAGUUCGGAGACAGAUUUUUCCCCCCCAGGGCUACAGACAAAAACUCAGCCUGGACAACCUUGAUUUUAGCCUCAUGAUACCCUGAACAUAAAACCUAACCAGGCUGUGUUGGAUUUCUGACCUUCAGACCUGUGAGCCAAUAAAUGGGCAUUGUUUUAAGCCACUAAAUUUGUGAUAAUUUGUUAUACAGGAUCACAGGCUUCUGCAAGUCUUAUAUCAACUUCUCUUUAGUCUUUCACCCUGAAAACAGGAGUCAGUUAUGGGCUACGUUUCCUUAACCAUAUAGACACCAGAUUGCUAUUCCUGAAACUGACAAUUCUUGUACCCACUCUGAAUAACGAAUACAAAACAAGGUACUAAGUUGUAUGUAAAGAGAUCAUUUGUGCCAGGCGUGGUGGCUCACACCUGUAAUCUCAACACUUCGGGAGGCCGAGACAGGCGGAUCACCUGAGAUCAGGAGUUCCAGACCAGCCUAUCCAACAUGAUGAAACCUCAUCUCUACUAAAAAUAUGAAAAUUAGUCAGGCAUGGUGGCACACACCUAUAGUCCCAGCUACUCGUGAGGCUGAGGCAGAAGAAUGGCUUGAACCCAGGAAGUGGAGGUUGCAGUGAGCCGAGAUCAUGCCACUGCACUCUAGCGUGGGUGACAGAGUGAGACUCUGCCUUUAAAAAAAAAAAAGAGAGAGAGAGAGAGAUCAUUUGGAAAACUCAACUGCCUACCUCCUGUGAGAAAUGAACUCAAAUACACAGUAAAUUCCUUCCAACUUUUCUUAGGUCUUUUUAAAAGGUGAAAGUAAGUGGUAACUGCUGCUUCUUUUUUCAUAUUAUUAUACUUUAAGUUCUGGGGUACAUGUGCAGAACGUUCAGGUUUGUUACAUAGUUAUACACGUGCCAUGUUGGUUUCCUGCACUCAUCAACCCAUCAUCUACAUUAGGUAUUUCUCCUAAUGCUAUCCCCACUAGCCCCCCAGCCCCCAACAGGCCCCAGUGUGUGAUGCCGCCUACUCCUGUGUCCAUGUGUUCUCACUGUUCAACUCCCACUUGUGAGUGAGAACAUGCAGUGGUUGGCUUUCUGUUCCUGUGUUAGUUUGCUAAGAAUGAUGGUUUCCAGCUUCAUUCAUGUCCCUGCCAAGGACAUGAAUUCAUCCUUUUUUAUGGCUACAUAGUAUUCUAUGGUGUCUAAUGCCACAUUUCCUUUAUCCAGUCUAUCACUGAUGCACAUUUGGGUUGGUUCCAAGUCUUUGCUAUUGUGAACAGUGCCACAAUAAAGAUACAUGUGCAUGUGUCUUUAUAGAGUGAUUUAUAAUCCUUUGGGUAUAUACCCAGUAAUGGGAUUGCUGGGUCAAAUUGUAUUUCUAGUUCUAGAUCCUUGAGGAAUCACCACACUGUCUUCCACAAUGGCUAAACUAAUUUACACUCCCACCAACAAUGUAAAAGCAUUCCUAUUUCUCCA